CCUACGGUGGGCUGCAGUGAGGAAUAUUGGUCAAUGGACGAAAGUCUGAACCAGCCAAGUAGCGUGAAGGAUGACUGCCCUAUGGGUUGUAAACUUCUUUUAUAUGGGAAUAAAAUGUUCCACGUGUGGUGUUUUGUAUGUACCAUAUGAAUAAGGAUCGGCUAACUCCGUGCCAGCAGCCGCGGUAAUACGGAGGAUCCGAGCGUUAUCCGGAUUUAUUGGGUUUAAAGGGAGCGUAGGUGGGUUGUUAAGUCAGUUGUGAAAGUUUGCGGAUCAACCGUAUAAGUGCAGGUGAAACUGGCAGGCUUGAGUACAGGAGAGGUAGGCGGAAUUCGUGGUGUAGCGGUGAAAUGCUUAGAUAUCACGAAGAACUCCGAUUGCGAAGGCAGUUCACUGGACUGCAACUGACACUGAGGCUCGAAAGUGUGGGUAUCAAACAGGAUUAGAUACCCUGGUAGUC
rnacentral:rRNA from 1 species